GACGGGUGAGUAACGCGCGGGUAACCUGCCCUGUACAGGGGGAUAACAGUCAGAAAUGACUGCUAAUACCGCAUAAGACCACAGCACCGCAUGGUGCAGGGGUAAAAACUACCGGUGGUACAGGAUGGACCCGCGUCUGAUUAGCUGGUUGGUGAGGUAACGGCUCACCAAGGCGACGAUCAGUAGCCGGCUUGAGAGAGUGAACGGCCACAUUGGGACUGAGACACGGCCCAAACUCCUACGGGAGGCAGCAUG
rnacentral:rRNA from 1 species